rnacentral:rRNA from 1 species
AUUGAACGCUGGCGGCAGGCCUAACACAUGCAAGUCGAGCGGAGCGGCCGACGGGCGAGUAAUUCCUAGGUAUCUGACUGGUAGUGGGGGAUAAAGUCCGGAAACGGGCGCUAAUACCGCCUACUUUCACAUGAGCCUUGGCGGGAUUAGCUAGUUGGUGGGGUAAAGGCCUACCAAGGCGACGACCCGUAACUGGUCUGAGAGGAUGACCAGUCACACUGGAACUGAGACACGGUCCAGACUCCUACGGGAGGCAGCAGUGGGGAAUAUUGGACAAUGGGCGAAAGCCUGAUCCAGCCAUGCCGCGUGUGUGAAGAAGGUCUUCGGAUUGUAAAGCACUGUAAGUAGGGAGGCGGUACCAACAGAAUAAGCACCGGCUAACUUCGUGCCAGCAGCCGCGGUAAUUC